rnacentral:rRNA from 1 species
UACGUAGGCGGCAAGCGUUGUCCGGAUUUACUGGGUGUAAAGGGCGUGCAGCCGGAGAGACAAGUCAGAUGUGAAAUCCACGGGCUCAACCCGUGAACUGCAUUUGAAACUGUUUCCCUUGAGUGUCGGAGAGGUAAUCGGAAUUCCUUGUGUAGCGGUGAAAUGCGUAGAUAUAAGGAAGAACACCAGUGGCGAAGGCGGAUUACUGGACGAUAACUGACGGUGAGGCGCGAAAGCGUGGGGAGCAAACAGG